rnacentral:rRNA from 1 species
CCAAUAGCGUAUAUUAAAGUUGUUGCAGUUAAAAAGCUCGUAGUUGAAUUUCGGGGUUCUACCGUUGGUCGGGCUUUGUCUGUACUGGCGUGUAGAAUUUCUACCUUCUGGGGAACCAUCAUGUUAUUAAUUUAACGUGGUGGGAAACCAGGACCUUUACCUUGAAAAAAUUAGAGUGUUCAAAGCAGGCUUAUGUCUGAAUACAUUAGCAUGGAAUAAUAAAAUAGGACGGUGGUCCUGUUUUGUUGGUUUCUGAAUCACCGUAAUGAUUAAUAGGGAUAGUUGGGGGCAUUAGUAUUCAAUUGUCAGAGGUGAAAUUCUUGGAUUUAUUGAAGACUAACUUCUGCGAAAGCAUUUGCCAAGGAUGUUUUCAUUAAUCAAGAAUGAAAGUUAGGGGAUCGAAGACGAUCAGAUACCGUCGUAGUCUUAACCAUAAACUAUGCCGACUAGGGAUCGGACGAUGUUAAUUUUUCUUGACUCGUUCGGCGCCUUACG